rnacentral:tRNA from 1 species
CGGGGAUUGGCGCAGUUGGUAGCGCGCACGCAUGGGGUGCGUGAGGUCGCCGGUUCGAGCCCGGCAUCCCCGACCA